GGAGAAGCUGAGUCGCCAGUACUGACAAAAGUGAAAGAAUUCCAACAGAAGCGAAAAAGAAAGAAACUCAGCUGUAGUCUAGAUGAUGUUGGUAUUCAGGAGAGAUGUAUCAGAUGUAAUGAGCUUAUUCCAUUGAGAUUGCUUAGAGAACAUGCAGAUGUCUGUGAAGCUGCAGAUAAGUUUUGGUAGGGAUGAGUUUGAGUAUGUACAGUUGUUUGACCUGUCUUACCAUGUGGCAGUCCCAGAAGAUGUUACCAUUAUGAAUAAAUGCAGGGGAACUUGAAGACAAUGGUUAGUGCAGAAGGGACAUAAAAGUAAUGUGAAAGUAACAGAUAUAAAUAAG